GACGAACGCUGGCGGCGUGCCUAAUACAUGCAAGUUGAGCGAUGAAGAUUGGUGCUUGCACCAAUUUGAAGAGCAGCGAACGGGUGAGUAACGCGUGGGGAAUCUGCCUUUGAGCGGGGGACAACAUUUGGAAACGAAUGCUAAUACCGCAUAACAACUUUAAACAUAAGUUUUAAGUUUGAAAGAUGCAAUUGCAUCACUCAAAGAUGAUCCCGCGUUGUAUUAGCUAGUUGGUGAGGUAAAGGCUCACCAAGGCGAUGAUACAUAGCCGACCUGAGAGGGUGAUCGGCCACAUUGGGACUGAGACACGGCCCAAACUCCUACGGGAGGCAGCAGUAGGGAAUCGUCGGCAAUGGACGAAAGUCUGACCGAGCAACGCCGCGUGAGUGAAGAAGGUUUUCGGAUCGUAAAACUCGGUUGGUAGAGAAGAACGUUGGUGAGAGUGGAAAGCUCAUCAAGUGACGGUAACUACCCAGAAAGGGACGGCUAACUACGUG
rnacentral:rRNA from 1 species